AGCAGCCGCGGUAAUUCCAGCUCCAAUAGCGUAUAUUAAAGUUGCUGCAGUUAAAAAGCUCGUAGUUGAAUUUCGGGGUUAGUAGGUUGGUCAUGCCUCUGGUAUGUACUGGUCUCACUGAUUCCUCCUUCCUGAUGAACCUUAAUGCCAUUAAUUUGGUGUUUUGGGGAAUUUGGACUGUUACUUUGAAAAAUUAGAGUGUUUAAAGCAAGCUAACGCUUGAAUACAUUAGCAUGGAAUAAUGAAAUAGGACGUUCGAUCCUAUUUUGUUGGUUUCUAGGAUUGACGUAAUGAUUAAUAGGGAUAGUUGGGGGCAUUAGUAUUCAAUUGUCAGAGGUGAAAUUCUUGGAUUUAUUGAAGACUAACUACUGCGAAAGCAUUUGCCAAAGAUGUUUUCAUUAAUCAAGAACGAAAGUUAGGGGAUCGAAGACGAUCAGAUACCGUCGUAGUCUUAACCAUAAACUAUGCCGACUAGGGAUCGGAUGAUGUAAUUUUUAAUGACUCAUUCGGCGCCUUACGG
rnacentral:rRNA from 1 species